UAUUAGGAAUCAAGUGAAUAAUCCUAAUAUUAAUUAAAAGUGAAUAAGAGCCUCCAGGAAAAAUAGAAUGGAUAAAAGGCCCGAUUUAACGGGACUUAAACUAAAACGGGUUUUUGAACAAGAUGAAUAACUAGGAAAAUUAUAACCUAGUUAACUACAAGUCUAAAAAUAACUUAAAUAGGGUUAAAACAACAAAACCUUAUGGUAAACAAAAGUGAGGGACUAAUAUUGUCAAAACUUAAACUUAUAUUACUAAAUUAGUGAAAACAAAACCAAAUACCCCAUAAUUGAGGUGUCUGGUCGUACAAGAAGCAGGAGGGCGACAAGGGUUCUUCACCAAACCCUAACUCUCACAAAAAUUGAUCAAUUGAAGGAUCAAAUCAAGUCCAAAACGAAAAUCGAGCAUAGAUUAAUGAUCCCCAUUGUAAGGAGAUCAUAAGCUUGACACCUAACGAGGUAGAUGGAAGCUUGUGGAUGAAGCGGGUCAAACGGAGCAAGUACGGAAAGAAAAGCGAGGCAUGGAUGCAAGGUAAGUGAAACUUACACCUUUUAGUAAAAUAAAUGUUCAUCCUAUAAGUUUCAAAUACACUAAGAAUAAUUUUCAAGAUAUGGUUCCCGACGCGAAAUAAUACGGGUCAGAACUAACAUAAAUGAUAAAAACCAUGUUUAAUGGUAAAAGAGAUAGAACGGUAAAUUAGCCAUGAAAAGCUAAUUAUAAAAAUGGGUUUUUGAACGGCAACUAUAAGUAAGCCUAAUGAAUAAAAAGAGUAAAAUGGGUCAAAUAGUAAUGUGGAUACCAUUUGACAAAUAUCGACUAAUAAGCACUUGUCGAGUUUUAUGCUUACAGGAUAAAGUAGCUUAUGAAUUAGCGUUGCUAUGAAUUAGCAAAUUUUCGAGACAAGGUAUUAAAACGGGUCAAUGUAUUGAUCCGAGCCAGGUGAAUAUCAAGAGUACCCGGAUGAGGAUCAAGCGCGAAAAGAACCGAACACAUGAAAAAGAAGCUUCCGCACGUUGCAUCGUUGUUAUUUCUAAAUGACGAAUCUAAUUACAUUCUGUUGUAUCAUUUUCACAUUGUAAAAGUUUAAAUAAACCCGUAUUUUCAUAAGUAUAUGUAGUCGUAAUUACUUAUUUCUUUUCGUAAUUUAUACGAAAAGCGCUAAAUAAUAGUACGGGUGUUACAAGUUGGUAAUCAGAGCUCAAGGUUAAAAGAAUAAAGUGUUCGGUUCGAGGCUUGAUCGCAAAUCCGGUAAGUACAUGUAUAUCAAUAGUUUGAUAUGAUUAAAGUGCUGAGAACAACACAUAUGGUUAUCGUGUAAUACACGUUACACCAAUAAAAUCGAUAUAGAAUAGAUAUAGUCAAUGAAAUUACACGCGUUGAUGCGUAUAAUAGAAAAGCCUUGUAUUAUAAUACGGGCAUCCUUUAAUGUUGAAAUUAUUAACAUUUGUAUAUGUUUUAGUUGAAGGACAUUCGCAUAUGAGGAUAGCGAGAGCUUAACAAAUUACGGAUAUGGUAGAAGAACGGUCCGAAGUAUGACAAGAGGAGCAUGCUCACCAAGGACUAAAUCGCGUAACGACCGCGAACAAAGUUAAAGGCAAGAAACGCCCGUCGGGGCAAGCAUUACCAGUUUGACACCUAACGAGCUAGAUGGAAGCUUGUGGAUGAAGCGGGUCAAACGGAGCAAGUACGGAAAGAAAAGCGAGGCAUGGAUGCAAGGUAAGUGAAACUUACACCUUUUAGUAAAAUAAAUGUUCAUCCUAUAAGUUUCAAAUACACUAAGAAUAAUUUUCAAGAUAUGGUUCCCGACGCGAAAUAAUACGGGUCAGAACUAACAUAAAUGAUAAAAAACCAUGUUUAAUGGUAAAAGAGAUAGAACGGUAAAUUAGCCAUGAAAAGCUAAUUAUAAAAAUGGGUUUUUGAACGGCAACUAUAAGUAAGCCUAAUGAAUAAAAAGAGUAAAACGGGUCAAAUAGUAAUGUGGAUACCAUUUGACAAAUAUCGACUAAUAAGCACUUGUCGAGUAUUAUGCUUACAGGAUAAAGUAGCUUAUGAAUUAGCGUUGCUAUGAAUUAGCAAAUUUUCGAGACAAGGUAUUAAAAUGGGUCAAUGUAUUGAUCCGAGCCAGGUACGUGUAAUUAUGUUAUAGUUAAAAGUGAUUAAAGCAUGGAUAUUGCUUCGUAACAUGAUUGAUUGUUCUAUUGUUGACAAUUGAAUAUUGACAUAUUAAAACACGAGAAUUUAAUAUGUUGGUUGUUAGAAUAAAAGAUUCGAGAAAUUGGUAUGGGCAACACAAACAAAACAGUCAAAAACUUACAUGUGCAGAGGCUACCGUAAGUUACGGUACCACCGUAACUUACGGUAGAGGUCAGAAGGCUACG